CAGUCGCCACGGUAAUACGUAGGGUGCAAGCGUUAAUCGGAAUUACUGGGCGUAAAGCGUGCGCAGGCGGUUUGUUAAGACAGAUGUGAAAUCCCCGGGCUCAACCUGGGAACUGCAUCCAAAACUGGUGAGCUAGAGUACGGUAGAGGGUAGUGGAAUUUCCUGUGUAGCGGUGAAAUGCGUAGAUAUAGGAAGGAACACCAGUGGCGAAGGCGACUACCUGGACUGAUACUGACACUGAGGUGCGAAAGCGUGGGGAGCAAACAGGAUUAGAUACCCCUGUAGUCCCUGUCUCUUAUAC
rnacentral:rRNA from 1 species